rnacentral:rRNA from 2 species
CGGCGGGCUAUCAUGCAGUCGACGAACUCUGGUAUUGAUUGGUGCUUGCAUCAUGAUUUACAUUUGAGUGAGUGGCGAACUGGUGAGUAACACGUGGGAAACCUGCCCAGAAGCGGGGGAUAACACCUGGAAACAGAUGCUAAUACCGCAUAACAACUUGGACCGCAUGGUCCGAGCUUGAAAGAUGGCUUCGGCUAUCACUUUUGGAUGGUCCCGCGGCGUAUUAGCUAGAUGGUGGGGUAACGGCUCACCAUGGCAAUGAUACGUAGCCGACCUGAGAGGGUAAUCGGCCACAUUGGGACUGAGACACGGCCCAAACUCCUACGGGAGGCAGCAGUAGGGAAUCUUCCACAAUGGACGAAAGUCUGAUGGAGCAACGCCGCGUGAGUGAAGAAGGGUUUCGGCUCGUAAAACUCUGUUGUUAAAGAAGAACAUAUCUGAGAGUAACUGUUCAGGUAUUGACGGUAUUUAACCAGAAAGCCACGGCUAACUACGUGCCAGCAGCCGCGGUAAUACGUAGGUGGCAAGCGUUGUCCGGAUUUAUUGGGCGUAAAGCGAGCGCAGGCGGUUUUUUAAGUCUGAUGUGAAAGCCUUCGGCUCAACCGAAGAAGUGCAUCGGAAACUGGGAAACUUGAGUGCAGAAGAGGACAGUGGAACUCCAUGUGUAGCGGUGAAAUGCGUAGAUAUAUGGAAGAACACCAGUGGCGAAGGCGGCUGUCUGGUCUGUAACUGACGCUGAGGCUCGAAAGUAUGGGUAGCAAACAGGAUUAGAUACCCUGGUAGUCCAUACCGUAAACGAUGAAUGCUAAGUGUUGGAGGGUUUCCGCCCUUCAGUGCUGCAGCUAACGCAUUAAGCAUUCCGCCUGGGGAGUACGGCCGCAAGGCUGAAACUCAAAGGAAUUGACGGGGGCCCGCACAAGCGGUGGAGCAUGUGGUUUAAUUCGAAGCUACGCGAAGAACCUUACCAGGUCUUGACAUACUAUGCAAAUCUAAGAGAUUAGACGUUCCCUUCGGGGACAUGGAUACAGGUGGUGCAUGGUUGUCGUCAGCUCGUGUCGUGAGAUGUUGGGUUAAGUCCCGCAACGAGCGCAACCCUUAUUAUCAGUUGCCAGCAUUAAGUUGGGCACUCUGGUGAGACUGCCGGUGACAAACCGGAGGAAGGUGGGGAUGACGUCAAAUCAUCAUGCCCCUUAUGACCUGGGCUACACACGUGCUACAAUGGAUGGUACAACGAGUUGCGAACUCGCGAGAGUAAGCUAAUCUCUUAAAGCCAUUCUCAGUUCGGAUUGUAGGCUGCAACUCGCCUACAUGAAGUCGGAAUCGCUAGUAAUCGCGGAUCAGCAUGCCGCGGUGAAUACGUUCCCGGGCCUUGUACACACCGCCCGUCACACCAUGAGAGUUUGUAACACCCAAAGUCGGUGGGGUAACCUUUUAGGAACCAGCCGCCUAAG